AACGAACGCUGGCGGCAGGCCUAACACAUGCAAGUCGAACGCCCGUAGCAAUACGGGAGUGGCAGACGGGUGAGUAACGCGUGGGAACGUGCCUUCGGUUCGGAAUAACUCAGGGAAACUUGAGCUAAUACCGGAUACGUCCGUAAGGAGAAAGAUUUAUCGCCGAAGGAUCGGCCCGCGUCGGAUUAGCUAGUUGGUGAGGUAACGGCCCACCAAGGCGACGAUCCGUAGCUGGUCUGAGAGGAUGAUCAGCCACACUGGGACUGAGACACGGCCCAGACUCCUACGGGAGGCAGCAGUGGGGAAUAUUGGACAAUGGGCGAAAGCCUGAUCCAGCCAUGCCGCGUGAGUGAAGAAGGCCUUAGGGUUGUAAAGCUCUUUCAGCGGGGAAGAUAAUGACGG
rnacentral:rRNA from 1 species